GACAGAGGGGGCAAGCGUUGCUCGGAAUCACUGGGCGUAAAGGGCGCGUAGGCGGGAUGGCAAGUCGGUCGUGAAAUCUCACGGCUCAACCGAGAAACGUCGGCCGAUACUGCCGUUCUUGAGGGAUGCAGAGGAGACUGGAAUUCCCGGUGUAGCGGUGAAAUGUGUAGAGAUCGGGAGGAACACCGGUGGCGAAGGCGGUUCUCUGGACAGUUCCUGACGCUGAGGCACGAAGGUCAGGGGAGCAAACGGG
rnacentral:rRNA from 1 species